rnacentral:lncRNA from 1 species
AGAGCAGACCACACUCCCACUUCCACCGGCUCCUGCUGCUCGCUGCAAGUGCAGCGGGGAUCGCUGGCAGCCAGCAGCCGCCUUACCUGCUCCCGAGCGCCAGCACAGCCUGACAAAAACUCAGGGGAACCGGCAAUUUUGUUCCACGCUCUGGCGGAGAGAAGCCUCGGGGGAUUUGCACGGGCAAGGAUCGCCUCGGAACGGUGCCCCCGAGCCGCGGAUGUGCGCGGGGCUGAGGCGGGGGCUGCCCGCGGGGGCGGGGGAGCCCGGCGGGAGCGGAGCGCGGCGGGGCGGGCGCUGCCGGAGCGGAGCGCGGUGCGGACCGGCCGGGGCGGGCGGCAGGAGCCGCGCUGCCCCCGCUGCCCGGAGCGGGCUGUCCCUCGGCUCGGAGGUAAGCUGACUCUACAUUGUGUGUGUUUGUCCCCCCCUCCGCGGGUACCCCGGGUGCCAGGGGCGCGCUGCUGCGCUAACCAGGGCGGCGGCUCGGGGCUGUGGCUCAGCUCCUCGGGCCCGAACCGAGCCGGAGCUGAACGUCGGCAUCUGCCGCUUUGCACUCUCCAUCACAUUCUUUGCAAACUUCUCCUGAGGGGCUGGGGGAGGAGUGAGACGGAGAGGGGGAGGGGGAAACUAACCCCAGGUGAGACCGCGCUCUUGAGAUGCCGCGGACCCUCGCUCCGGUGCCGCCGGGCCCUGCCCAGCCCGGGGAGGCUCCAACACCUUCCGCCGGCGCGGAGCAUCGCGCACCCCCCGUCCCUGCGCCGCUGCAGCAGCGGUUUGAUUUAUCCGAGGCAUUACCGGGACUGUUAUUCCCGGGAAGGCAGAGCGGAGCGCGCUCCCGGCCGCCCGGGCCUGUCCAUGUGCUUACCGCGCCACCGUGAGGCGGCCGCGGGCCCCGCACCGAGAGCUCCCGGGGCCGCCGAACGCGCCGCGGCCGCGGGGACCCCGCGCAGGGCGGACGGGGCCGUCGGGGCUCCGCCGCGGGCAGCCCUCAGCGCCCGGGGCUCCGGGACAGCGCAGGCCGCCGCCUCCCGCCCGCUCUCAGGGGCCGGAGAAAGACGGGGAGAAUUUAAGGAGAAUUGA